rnacentral:rRNA from 1 species
UACGUAGGGUGCAAGCGUUUAUCCGGAAUUAUUGGGCGUAAAGAGCUCGUAGGCGGUUUGUCGCGUCUGCUGUGAAAACCCGAGGCUCAACCUCGGGCCUGCAGUGGGUACGGGCAGACUAGAGUGCGGUAGGGGAGAUUGGAAUUCCUGGUGUAGCGGUGGAAUGCGCAGAUAUCAGGAGGAACACCGGUGGCGAAGGCGGGUCUCGUGGGCCGAUACUGACGCUGAGGAGCGAAAGCGUGGGGAGCGAACAGG